GACGAACGCUGGCGGCGUACUUAACACAUGCAAGUCGAGCGGUAAGGCCCUUUCGGGGGUACGACGAGCGGCGAACGGGUGAGUAACACGUGAGCAACCUACCCUCAACUUCGGGAUAAGCCUCGGAAACGGGGUCUAAUACCGGAUAUCACUCAUUGCCUCAUGGUUUUGGGUUGAAAGUUCUGGCGGUUGGGGAUGGGCUCGCGGCCUAUCAGCUUGUUGGUGGGGUAAUGGCCUACCAAGGCGUCGACGGGUAGCCGGCCUGAGAGGGCGACCGGCCACACUGGGACUGAGACACGGCCCAGACUCCUACGGGAGGCAGCAGUGGGGAAGUAUUGCGCAAUGGACGGAAGGUCUGACGCAGCAACGCCGCGUGAGGGAUGACGGCCUUCGGUUGUU
rnacentral:rRNA from 1 species